rnacentral:rRNA from 1 species
AACGAACGCUGGCGGCAUGCCUAACACAUGCAAGUCGAACGAAACCUUCGGGUCUAGUGGCGCACGGGUGCGUAACGCGUGGGAACCUGCCCUUAGGUUCGGAAUACCUCCCCGAAAGGGGUGCUAAUACAGGAUCAUGUCUUAGGACCAAAGACUUAUUGCGUCUGGAUGGGCCCGCGUUGGAUUCGCUCGUUGGUAGGGUAAUAGCCUACUAAGGCGACGAUCCAUAGCUGGUCUGAGAGGAUGAUCAGCAACACUGGGAAUGAGACACGGCCCAGACUCCUACGGGAGGGAGCAGUGGGUAAUAUUGGACAAUGGGCGAAAGCCUGAUCCAGCAAUGCCGCGUAAGUGAUGAAGGCCGUAGGGUUGUAAAGCUCUUUUACCCGGGAUGAUAAUGACGGUACCGGGAGAAUAAGCGCCGGCUAACUCCGUG